rnacentral:rRNA from 2 species
UACGUAGGGCGCAAGCGUUGUCCGGAAUUAUUGGGCGUAAAGAGCUCGUAGGCGGUCUGUCGCGUCUGCCGUGAAAACCCGAGGCUUAACCUCGGGCUGGCGGUGGAUACGGGCAGACUAGAGGUAGGUAGGGGAGAAUGGAAUUCCCGGUGUAGCGGUGAAAUGCGCAGAUAUCGGGAGGAACACCGGUGGCGAAGGCGGUUCUCUGGGCCUUACCUGACGCUGAGGAGCGAAAGCAUGGGGAGCGAACAGG